rnacentral:rRNA from 1 species
AAGUGGAGCAAUCCAUGAGUACAGUGGCGACCGGGUGAGUAACACGUGACCAAUCUACCCUCGAGUGGGGGAUAACUCCGGGAAACCGGGGCUAAUACCGCAUAACAUCUUCGGAUCGGAAGAUCUGGGGAUCAAAGGAGCAAUUCGCUUGAGGAGGAGGUCGCGGCUGAUUAGCUAGUUGGCGGGGUAAUGGCCCACCAAGGCGAAGAUCGGUAGCCGGCCUGAGAGGGCGCACGGCCACACUGGAACUGAAACACGGUCCAGACUCCUACGGGAGGCAGCAGUGGGGAAUUUUGCGCAAUGGGGGAAACCCUGACGCAGCAACGCCGCGUGGAGGAUGAAGUCCCUUGGG